UCGGGAAUUUUGGACAAUGGGCGAAAGCCUGAUCCAGCCAUGCCGCGUGUGUGAAGAAGGUCUUCGGAUUGUAAAGCACUUUAAGUUGGGAGGAAGGGCCAUUACCUAAUACGUGAUGGUUUUGACGUUACCGACAGAAUAAGCACCGGCUAACUACGUGCCAGCAGCCGCGGUAAUACGUAGGGUGCAAGCGUUAAUCGGAAUUACUGGGCGUAAAGCGUGCGCAGGCGGUUAUGUAAGUCAGAUGUGAAAUCCCCGGGCUCAACCUGGGAACUGCAUCCAAAACUGCAUGGCUAGAGUACGGUAGAGGGUGGUGGAAUUUCCUGUGUAGCGGUGAAAUGCGUAGAUAUAGGAAGAACACCAGUGGCGAAGGCGGCCAACUGGCUCGAUACUGACGCUGAGGUGCGAAAGCGUGGGGAGCAAACAGGAUUAGAUACCCAUGUAGUCCCUGAGCGGGCUGGCAAGGCGCAU
rnacentral:rRNA from 1 species